GUGUAUUCUGGUAAACAACCCCAUUUUGGGCCAAGUCUUCCAAUUUUGAUAGCCGGUUCGCACUAUCAUCUUCUUGUUUGUUAUCAAAAAACGAAGUUUCAGCUCUUGAAACACAGGAUAUUUUCAAGCUGGGUCUAAACGAAUAAAGUAACAAAAGAUUGAAGGAAGAGGGAGGAGUGAAUGUUUUAAGGGGGAAUUUGAGUCCAGGAGAGAUGGAAAGGAGAGGGGUAUUUCGUGAAAUACGGAAAAAUUGUGGUUGGCAGUGCCAUUGAUACACUUUGAGGGGAUUCAUUGUUGAAUGAAG
rnacentral:misc_RNA from 1 species